CAUGAUUCUCCCACUCCAGACAGACGCAGGUUAAGAUCUUUCCUGGUCCCUGCCUGACUUCCCUUCAUGGUGGACAGCGAGUUAUUACCUGAAAUGAAUCCUUUCCUCCUCACUUUGCUUUAUUGUCACAGCAACAAGUGAACAAUCUGGAAUACUCAGCAACUGUUGACUUUGAAAAUCAAGGAUGGAAGGGCAGUGCCUAAAGAACACAGUGCCAAGAUGCCAUCACGUGACAAAGAAUGCCUGGGAACCGAAGAGACACAGCUAGAGCACAUGCCUGGAUGGGAGUCUCUGCCCAGGAACAGAAGGAGGCUGGCCCAUGGUGAGCUUUUUUUAGCCAGGGCCACUUUGUCUGUUCUAACAUGAAGCUGAGUGGAAAACC